AGCUCGUAUGGAUGAUCCGAGACCGUAGAUGCGUAGAGCUCGCAGAGACGAAUCCAUUUUACUACUCAUAUGUUUCAUUCGGACUUCACAUGAAGACAAUACCAGUGGAUGAAGAUUGGAUCAAUUUGAAAAAAAAACAAAACUGACCAUUGAUUGCCGUGAGUUUAAUGGCCAUUAGGAAUCAGUUUCCUUUUCUCCCUCCCGUGGACUUUUUCUUCUUUUCACGUGUGUUCUCCUUUCCCCUAAAUGCAGCUUUAUUCUCUUCCCAAUUAUUUCCCCCCUCCAUUAAAAACCAGCAACUCCUCCUCUUUCCCUGUUUCUCUUUGUUUCUCAUGUGCAUCUCUCCCUUGCUGCCCUUGUCUUCCUCCCGAUCUAAAACUGCUGCUGAGAGACUAGAGAGAGGAGAAGGUAGUAGGAGGAGAAUGGAAAGAAGGACAGGGAUGCACAAACCCUAGGCCUUUGGGGGAUCAAGGUGCUUGAGUGGAUGCCUUGCUUGAAGGGAUGGGAUUAGCUGCACAUCAUCACAUUUUUUAUCUCACGCUUUUGUAACAAUACUGGCAAAUUUUGUCUUGCUGUAAUGAGUUUUGUUAGUAGACCUUCUGUUUUUUUUCUUGGCUUCAUAAGAAUGAGUGUGGAUUUCAUUUGCUAUUUUUCUUUUGUUUAUAAAGCUCUUUAAAUGCUACACUUUGGUUCAUCUUUAUAUAUUGUUUAUAUGGUUGCUUCUGUGCUUUACUCUGUUUGUGGGGUUAAGCUGUCGAGUUUUUCAAACUCCAGCUUGUGGGAAGGGUGUUGAGUGACAUCUUAGGCUUUGUGGUGCCUGGUGUGUUACAGUUGUUAAUCAGAGUUUUUUGUUAAAUAUUCUAGGUUUAAUUACGCUUUGUCAAAAUUAAAUUUGACACACUUGCACAUGUAGGUUGGGUAUGUGUUUUUCAUAUCUUUGUAUAUAUGUUAUUUUACAUGACUUGUUUUGUGCUUUUGCUUUUAAUUACUUGAAUUUGAUGUGUUUGCUCAUUUAAUUUUUGGUGGUUGUAGCUAUGCCUCCUGUUAGGCGUAGUCGUGGGCGUGGACGUGGGCGUGGUCAUGGUCAUUCUGGAGCUAGUGGGCAGCCUUCAGAUGCUAAUCCUACUCCUAAGCUGGUGCCACAGGCUGAUGCUAGUCCAGCACAGUUGCUAGCUAUGAUGCAGGCAUUGCAGAAUGAGAUUAGGAACUUGAGGCAGGGUGCUCCGACUGUUGGUGUUGCUCCUGCAAAUGUUGCCCGUACUACUAAUGGUCCAGUUGCUGGGGUUGGAGCUGCUCCUGAGAUGUCUGUUCCUAUUAGUGCCAUAUCAUUGAUGCAGUGGAUGGGCAUGAAGCUAGACACUUUUGAUGGUAGUGGUACCCCAGUUGAGGCAGCAGAUUGGUUGACAUAUGUUGAGGAUAAGAUGGAAGUCUUUGACAUGGUUUAUCAUGAUUGCGUUCACUUUGGUACACAACUGCUGAAGGGCGAGGCUUAGAUUUGGUGGAAAGGUGUGCAGGCAGCCCACCCAACCACAUACGGGCCAUUGUCAUGGCAUGACUUUGUGAGGCAGUUUGAGAGGAGAUUCUACCCAGUCACAUUUCUUGAUAAGAUGAAGAUAGACCUGGAUAACUAUGUGCAAGAUAAAAAGACUGUUGCAGAGUACGAAGUGGGCUUCAACAAGAUUGUCUGUUUUGUUCCUUAUGUGGCUCGCAAUGAUGCGGAGAAGGCAAGACAAUUCCGUCAAGGCCUCAAACCUUCCAUAAGGCACAUGUUAGGAGCCUUUCCAUUAGUUGAUUUCCGCACCACAGUGGAGCAAGCAUUAGGAAUUGAACUACAGGAGACAUACACAGAUGAGAUUCACCAGUCAUCUAGUAGAGAUGAUAUUGAGAGCAAGGGCCAAUCUAGUGGUCCUGUGCAUAAGAAGGAUAAGUCCCAUCGCCAUCAGCCUUAUCGUGGCAACUCGGAGCAGUCUCGCACUUCAGGACAGAAUAGUCCUUAGUAUCGUGCCAUUCCUAAGCCUGGAAUGGGGAUGAUAUGUUUUCGUUGUGGUGAUCCACACCGCCGUAGGGAUUACACAUGGUCGGGAGAGUGCUCUUUGUGUGGUCAAAACCAUAAGGACGUAGUAUGCAGGAAAAAUCCUAAUGGCAAGGUUCGGUGGGAGGAGAUAUCUUCUUCUGCUUCAAGUGGUACAGUGCAAAUGUUAGCUACACCUCCUACCGCAUACUUGCCAGCGUCCCUGACACAACAGUACUUGAUGGCACCUCCAGUGACUUCCCCAAUAGCGCCUACAUUUCAGUCUGGUGGCUAUUGGCUGCCUCACGCCACAACUCCUUCAGCACCUAUGGUUCCAUUCUAUUCUACACCAACUAGUUUCUCCACUGGAGCCACUCCAUCAUUGAGUAUUUCCGGAGUGAAUGCAACGGCGGCAAGUGAUAGUAGAAACCAUGAAGAUGUGAUCAUAGGUACCAUACUAGUGAUCCUUUGGUGUGGUACUCUUUCCUUGGUAGAAUCAGUUUUGUUGUUUCUUAUUGCUUCGGUGAGAUACAAGAUUUUCUUUUUCGUUAUGUUAGUAUCUUAUGGUGUGAGAGAAUUCGGGGACGAAUUCCUUAAAGGAGGGGAGAAUGUAACACCCGUGAAUUAGCGUACAGCCGUUGACCGGACCCUUUGUAGAAAGACGGAAAAAAUUGACUUUUUGAAUGAUAGCUCGUAUGGAUGAUCCGAGACCGUAGAUGCGUAGAGCUCGCAGAGACGAAUCCAUUUUACUACUCAUAUGUUUCAUUCGGACUUCACAUGAAGACAAUACCAGUGGAUGAAGAUUGGAUCAGUUUGAAAAAAAAACAAAACUGGCCAUUGAUUGCCGUGAGUUUAAUGGCCAUUAGGAAUCAGUUUCCUUUUCUCCCUCCCGUGGACUUUUUCUUCUUUUCACGUGUGUUCUCCUUUCCCCUAAAUGCAGCUUUAUUCUCUUCCCAAUUAUUUCCCCCCUCCAUUAAAAACCAGCAACUCCUCUUUCCCUGUUUCUCUUUGUUUCUCAUGUGCAUCUCUCCCUUGCUGCCCUUGUCUCCCUCCCGAUCUAAAACUGCUGCUGAGAGACUAGAGAGAGGAGAAGGUAGUAGGAGGAGAAUGGAAAGAAGGACAGGGAUGCACAAACCCUAGGCCUUGGGGGGAUCAAGGUGCUUGAGUGGAUGCCUUGCUUGAAGGGAUGGGAUUAGCUGCACAUCAUCACAUUUUUUUAUCACACGCUUUUGUAACAAUAAUGACAAAUUUUGUCUUGCUGUAAUGAGUUUUGUUAGUAGACCUUCUGUUUUUUUUCAUGGCUUCAUAAGAAUGAGUGUGGAUUUCAUUCGCUAUUUAUCUUUUGUUUAUUAUGCUCUUUAAAUGCUACAAUUUGGUUCAUCUUUAUAUAUUGUUUAUGUGGUUGCUUC